CCCUGCCAUUUGUACACACCGCCCGUCGCUACUACCGAUUGAAUGGCUCGGUGAGGCCUUCGGACUGGCGCAGGAGGGUUGGCAACGACCCCCCCGCGCCGGAAAGUUGGUCAAACCCGGUCAUUUAGAGGAAGUAAAAGUCGUAACAAGGU
rnacentral:rRNA from 1 species